AUUGAACGCUGGCGGCAGGCCUAACACAUGCAAGUCGAGCGAGCGGCGGACGGGUGAGUAAUGUAUGGGGACUGCCCGAUAGAGGGGGAUAACUACUGGAAACGGUAGCUAAUACCGCAUACUAUCGGAUAACCCAUAUGGGAUUAGCUAGUAGGUGAGGUAAUGGCUCACCUAGGCGACGAUCCCUAGCUGGUCUGAGAGGAUGAUCAGCCACACUGGGACUUAGACACGGCCCAGAGCCCUACGGAGGCAGCAGUUGGGAAUAAUGCAAAAUGGGAGCAAGGCUGAAGGAGCCAUGGCGCGGGUAUGGAGAAGGCCCUAGGGUUUUAAAGUACUUUCAGUCGGGAGGCGUUACCGACAGAAGAAGCACCGGCUAACUCCGUGCCAGCCGCCGCGGUAAUAC
rnacentral:rRNA from 1 species